GUGCCAGCAGCCGCGGUAAUACGUAGAUGGCAAGCGUUGUCCGGAUUUACUGGGCGUAAAGGAUGUGUAGGCGGAUAUUUAAGUGAGAUGUGAAAUCCCCGGGCUCAACUUGGGGGCUGCAUUUCAAACUGGAUGUCUGGAGUGCAGGAGAGGAAAGCAGAAUUCCUAGUGUAGCGGUGAAAUGCGUAGAGAAUAGGAAGAAUACCAGUGGCGAAUGCGGUUUUCUGGACUGUAACUGAAGGUGAGGCAUGAAAGGGUGGGGAGCAAACAGGAUUAGAUACCCUGG
rnacentral:rRNA from 1 species